GCCUGAGUGGCGGAAUAGGUAGACGCGAUGGACUUAAAAUCCAUUGACAGCAAUGUCGUGCCGGUUCAAGUCCGGCCUUGGGUACCA
rnacentral:tRNA from 1 species